rnacentral:rRNA from 1 species
GCAAGUCGAGCGCGAAAGAUCUUCGGAUUGAGUAGAGCGGCGGACGGGUUAGUAACGCGUGGGAACAUACCCUUCUCUACGGAAUAGCCUCGGGAAACUGAGAGUAAUACCGUAUACGCCCUUCGGGGGAAAGAUUUAUCGGAGAUGGAUUGGCCCGCGUUAGAUUAGAUAGUUGGUGGGGUAAUGGCCUACCAAGUCUACGAUCUAUAGCUGGUUUGAGAGGAUGAUC